UCGUUAUCCUUCGAGAGUCGGCAGCCGUGCAGGGAUUUCCAAAAAAAAAAGAAAAAGAAAAGAAAUAAAUUCCACAAUUAACAGUAGCUUCGUGUAUCAACAGAGUGGACAGGAGAUUAAAAUAUAAAUAAUAGGAAAUUAUUGUACCUGCUCUAAGGUGACACCUUGCCAGCUAGGACCGUUGUAACAUUGAGGAAUAUUCGCCUGGGCUCCUCCGCACCAAUGACGAGCUCCUCUCCAGGUAGCACCACGCUGAACGUGUCGAAAUUCUGAGAGAGUCUACGCAACUCGUCAGUUCGGUCCAGUCUGCAUGCAGCCCGCAUUUCCAACCCGUUGAGUAACGCGAGAAGAGCCAAUUUUCAUUGCGGUUUGGACGGAAGCAAAAACAACGCUUGCGUCUUCUUUGACAAGAACAGG